rnacentral:rRNA from 1 species
GAAACGACUGCUAAGACUGGAUAGGAAAUUAGAAGGCAUCUUUUAAUUUUUAAAAGACCUUUUUCGAAAGGUAUACUUAAAGAGGGGCUUGCGGCACAUUAGUUAGUUGGUAGGGUAAAAGCCUACCAAGACCAUGAUGUGUAGCUGGACUGAGAGGUUGAACAGCCACAUUGGGACUGAGACACGGCCCAAACUCCUACGGGAGGCAGCAGUAGGGAAUUUUCGGCAAUGGAGGAAACUCUGACCGAGCAACGCCGCGUGAACGAUGAAGUAUUUCGGUAUGUAAAGUUCUUUUAUUGAAGAAGAAAAAAUAGUGGAAAAACUAUCUUGACGAUAUUCAAUGAAUAAGCCCCGGCAAACUAUGUGCCAGCAGCCGCGGUAAUACAUAGGGGGCGAGCGUUAUCCGGAAUUAUUGGGCGUAAAGGGUGCGUAGGCGGUUUGGUAAGUCUAUAGUUUAAUUUCAGUGCUUAACACUGUUCUGCUAUAGAAACUAUCAGACUAGAGUGAGAUAGAGGCAAGUGGAAUUCCAUGUGUAGCGGUAAAAUGCGUAAAUAUAUGGAGGAACACCAGAGGCGUGGGCGGCUUGCUGGGUCUUUACUGACGCUGAGGCACGAAAGCGUGGGGAGCAAACAGGAUUAGAUACCCUGGUAGUCCACGCCGUAAACGAUGAGUACUAAGUGUCGGGGAAACUCGGUACUGAAGUUAACACAUUAAGUACUCCGCCUGAGUAGUACGUACGCAAGUAUGAAACUUAAAGGAAUUGACGGGACUCCGCACAAGCGGUGGAUCGUGUUGUUUAAUUCGAAGAUACACGAAAAACCUUACCAGGUCUUGACAUACUCUGCAAAGCUAUAGCAAUAUAGUGGAGGUUAUCAGGGAUACAGGUGGUGCAUGGUUGUCGUCAGCUCGUGUCGUGAGAUGUUAGGUUAAGUCCUAAAACGAGCGCAACCCUUGUCACUAGUUGCCAGCAUGUUAUGAUGGGCACUUUAGUGAGACUGCCAAUGAAAAAUUGGAGGAAGGUGAGGAUCACGUCAAAUCAUCAUGCCCCUUAUGAUCUGGGCUACAAACGUGAUACAAUGGCUGUUACAAAGAGUAGCUAAAACACGAGUUUAUAGCCAAUCUCAUAAAAGCAGUCUCAGUUCGGAUUGAAGUCUGCAACUCGACUUCAUGAAGUUGGAAUCGCUAGUAAUCGCGAAUCAGCAUGUCGCGGUGAAUACGUUCACGGGGUUUGUACACACGGCCCGUCA